GACGAACGCUGGCGGCGUGCUUAACACAUGCAAGUUGAACGGGGAUUCACUUUAUGAAGUAUUUAUAUGGAGUAAGGUGAUGAGAGUAGCGGACGGGCGAGUAACGCGUGAGUAACCUGCCCUUUGCAGGGGGAUAACAUCGGGAAACCGGUGCUAAUACCGCAUAAGACCACAUUACCGCAUGGUAGAGUGGUCAAAGCUCCGGCGGCAAAGGAUGGACUCGCGUCCAAUUAGCUAGUUGGUGAGGUAAUGGCUCACCAAGGCGACGAUUGGUAGCCGAACUGAGAGGUUGGUCGGCCGCAUUGGGACUGAGACACGGCCAGACUCCUACGGGAGGCAGCAGUGGGGAAUAUUGCGCAAUGGAGGAAACUCUGACGCAGCAACGCCGCGUGAAGGAAGAAGGCUUUCGGGUGUAAACUUCUUUGAUCGGGGACAAGAUGACGGUACCCGAGGAACAAGCCACGGCUAACUACGUGCCAGCAGCCGCGGUAAGAGUCAACGUCG
rnacentral:rRNA from 1 species